rnacentral:lncRNA from 1 species
UCAAUAGCAGAUAUAGUACUUGAUCACUAUGGUCCAUACUAACUACAAUUCAAUUACAUUUGGUGAGGUACUUGGACUAACUAUUAUAUUUCUGUAGUUAUAGUGUAGCUAAUGUGCAGCAAUCUGUUAUAGUUUUUAAUAAAUCCAAAUUGUAGUUAAUCUGUAUUUGUUUUAAAGAUAAAUGUGGUUACAUUGUAGCUUAUUCGAUAUGUUUAUUCUAUUUCGGCAGCACAUUGAUGUUAUUAUGUAUUAUUUGCAAAAAAGUAGGCAAAUAUGGCCCCAACAACAAUAAUAGGUUCACAACAACCGAUUGCUUGUUCAAGACAAAGAUUGAAAGAAUCUAUGACAAGUUCAUAAGUUCUCCACCGGAACAAAGGUAUUCGUUUGUUAAAACUGAGGAUGAUGUUGGAGAAUAUAUUCUCAGGUAUAUCAUUCUUGCUAAUGUUGCCUGGGAUCUUGUUAGUUGUUAAACCAGAUAAUGAUGUUGGAGAAUAUAUUCUGUGGUACAGAAUUCUUGAUAAUGUUGCCUGGGACCUUGUUAACUAUGUGCUCAUGCCUGUGAGCCUAGUAGAGAACUUCCAUUGGUUGUUGCUAGUUUUUGACAUAAUAGGCAGGCAACUUUAUGGUAAGAGCAAACCGUCAUAAAACAGUUGAGACAUUGGUUGAAAAGUUUUCAAUCAUUAUCCAUCUGUAGUUAUCAUGCACUGGUUUCUAUGGUAUACGUAAAGACAUUAACUUCAGGACCACGAAGGCAUACAUCGAGAAACCAGUUACGGACCCUCUCGAUAUACAAUGGAUGGUUGCUGAGAUUCCACAACAAAAGG